ACUGGACAGAGGAGAUGGGGCAAGAGUUGGCUUCUUCUUCUUGCUUGGUGCCGGAGCUGGCACGGCAGCCGGAGGAGAAGCGAGUGGUGCUGGUGGUGGUGUGGCUGGAGGUGGUGAGGCUGGAGGAGGAGAUGCCGGGGGUGGGGUGGCCGGGGGAGGUGAAGCUGGUGGUGGGGAAGCCGGAGGUGGAGAUGCAGGUGGUGGGGUUGCCGGUGGGGGAGUUGCUGGUGGUGGACUGGCGGGAGGAGGAGAGGCUGGUGGAGGGGAGCUAACUGGCGGAGGAGUUGCCGGAGGAGGAGAGGACGCUGGAGGUGGGGUGGCUUGCGGAGGAGGAGAGGAUGUCACUGGUGGUUGAGAUGAUGUAGGUGGCUGCGAGUUGGAGUUUGGCGGCGGGGUAGUUUGUGCAGGUGGAGCCGGGGUUGCCGUCGGUGACCCGGUGGGAGACUGGCCCCCGACGCCGGCGACGACAAUGCAUAACAAUACAACAAAAAUGCUCGAUUUAUGAACCAUAUUUAACGUGCGCACCCUCUCUCUGCGCUCUGCUUAACCUGCGCACUGCCCGAGCGUUAAACAGAGAGUGUGAAGUGAAGUGAAGUGUUGUGCAGUGGAGCGCAGUGAGUGAAAUUGUGAAGAAAUAAAGACGGGAGGUGAUAGAAUAAAUAGGCGUUCAUUGGGAUCGAGAAAUGAAAGGAAGGUUCGGUGUUACUGGGACACUACCAAACAGAUCUGCGACGUCUGAUUAAUGGGGCCCGGUUGAUGUAUGCGGAGGGUUGAGAUCUGGAGCCACGUGGCGCAGUAAAGGAUUGCUCUGCAACUACAGGUGAAAAGAACGGACAAGACAUGUGACUAAGUGACUAAUGGGAGACCGUAGAUUUUUAAUACUUUUUAGUAGUUGGGUGGUCAUCGAUGAUGAUAAUUGAUUCUUUGUUAGUUGCCAUCAUUUUUUUUUUUUGUUAAUUUAUUUAUUUUGGGGCCAAAUCGAAAUGUUUGGUUGCGAUGAUUAACAUUCAAAAAUUAAAAUAAAGAUAAUGCAUUCACAGAUAAAGGAGUUUGAUGCUUGGUACCCACCAUAAAUUUGUUCUCUUGUUUGCUGAAGACAUCUUUAUUCAAUGGGUAAAUAAUAUUCAGAUUAAGUUCAAAUUAAAGGACAAUAAGUGGUUUUUCUUUUUUUCUUUUUAAAUUAGUUCUGUUUUUUUGUAAUUUGUUCGGAUCUAGGACGAAUCGAAUUUGGGUCACAAUGCAUUUGAUUACACUCCACAAUUUUCGACUAAUAUUGCUUAAAUUCUAAGUAAAUUCCUGUUAGUAUUGUGGACUAAUAUCAUAAAAUAGCAAAAUUGUAGUCUUUUCAUUGAAAAUCAACACGUCUUACAAAGACAAAUUUAAUCCACAAUAUAAAAAAUUGGAAUCAAUUAGUAAAAAUCGGGCAUGUCUGGCAGCUAAAUCAAGCUAAGCUAGCAUCAAUCGUCAUGUCGUUUUCUGAUGUAUGUGAUAUUUUUGUUUAGCCAAUUAUGAUUGGUGGGGCCGAGAAUCCCAUGUGAUGCAUCUCUUAUACGGCAACUGGCGAUAUGUGAUUUGUACGCCAAGGCUUUGUGCCGAUAAUCCCAAAAUCAACCCUGUUUUCGGUUGGUACGUUGUAGCACCACCGUCCCUUUUGCGGGCCCCAUCUCCCUUUCUCUGGCAUGCCGUGAUUGGUGGAUUCUCUAUCCCCAAAUCUUCACGGCCAACAUCUUCGUCUCGAUGAGAGAGACUGCCUUCGGAUUGAUUGAGAUCGAGUGCUAAGCAUUGGAUAUAGCAAACAAUGAGUAAUUAGACGUGUAAUAGAUUAUUAUAAAUAGGCUGGUGCUACGUUACGUAACGUAACGUAAGUCACAUACAGUAAUAGUUUUUAUGUUGAGUUAUAAUUAAUUUAAAAAUAAUUUUUUAUGAUUUUAAACUUAAUCAUACAAGAAAAAUUAAAUUAAAUUAUUAAAAAAAUUCUCCUAAUUUUGUCUGACAAUGCCCAUUCCAAUGGAGGGGAAAAAAAAAACUAAGCGAAUAAAAUGAUAAUGACGCAUCGAAAUUGAAUCUUAAUGAAUCACUUGGGUUGUUAAUGAAAUUAGAACCAUAAUUAUGAACGCACCAAAAGCCAAUUUUAUUGUGGGCCUUAACUUAAAAAAGAAAUAAUGGCUGAGUGGGCUCACGUGUUUGAUCCUAAUUCGUUAUAAGAAAAGCAAAAUUUGAGGGAGGAUUGAAGGUCAAGGAGACCUUUGCUUCUAAGCCAAUGCAAUUUUUAUCUGCUUUAUGUUUUUCCAAUCAUUACGGAUUAUCCAAUCUCACUCGUAGCUCUCAUGAUUCUUUAUAUAGAUUUCGUUUGUCGCGUUUCUAUUCUACAUUUAUACAUACGUAGAUAUAAAAUAAGCGUAUAAAAUAUAAUUUUUUUUUUUUAGUUGUAAAUCAUCCUAUGUAAACCAUCCAAUGUCAUGAGACUGUAUUGGACCUUGACUAAUCUAGAUUCGGGGUGUAGUCACAGUUAAAGUUUUUUAACCUUUCCAAAUGGUAUGUUUAGUGGAGAUCGAACCUGAGAGCUCUCCCCACAAACUCAACAUGCGCUGUCAACUGAGCCACAACCAUUUAAAGUAUAAUUUAUUUUAACAAUGAAUGUUAUUUUCAUUAUAUCACUAUUUGAUCAUUCAGUUAAAUAAUUUUAUUUGACUAAUCACUCAAAUUUAAAGUAUGAGAGGGGGGGGGGGGGAGAGAGAUAUUAAAACAUUGAUUUAAAUUUUGCCUAUCUCUUUAUCUUAAAAAAAAAGUUUGCAAUAAUAAUAAUAAUAAUACCGUAUAAUGAUGAUAAUUGUUAAAGGUAGACCUAAAAGACUCUCGUAAUUGAAAAUGCUAGAAACCGGAAUAAUUAUACAAAAGCAAAAUUAAGAGAAUGAGAAUAAGAUAAAUUUGGAAUAAGAGUGCUUUGGCGGACAGCUAAGGGAUGAGUGGAGCCCAAGAAACAGCGUAAGGCAAAAGGAAUUACGGGGGCUGAGACGUCUUAAUCAUUAAUCAAAAUCAAUUUGUUGAAACUGAUUUGAUGUUAAAAUGUCAUCACAUCGCCCGUUGCCCCAUUUCCUUUCAAUUUCUAGUGAUUGAAUCGAACCUCUUCCCGUUAAUUAAGCUUGACUUUAUACAAAUAUUGAUGCACAUUUUUUGCAGUUGAAAAAAAGCCUAAGUCAGCUUCAUUUUAAUUAUAUUACAAUUCACAAUGAACCAUGCAUGUAUGGACCUCAUAAUUAAAUCUAUGGUUUUAUCAAGUAUAAUGUUCGUACGAAUUUUGUUGUUUUGAGUUAUAAACUUUACUCAGUCGACUUUCUUUUAGCUUAGGGAUAUAUAUAUAGUAAGUAGUUUUUUGGUCAGAAAUUUUAAAUUACAGAAAAAUUCAGAAAAAUUUUAAAAUUAUACGGCUUUAAAAGCUUACAGUUUUAAACCUUUAAAAUUAUACGGUUUUAAAAAUUUUCCGCACUUUAAAAUUUUAAUAUAUAUAUAUAUAAAAUAAUUUUUUUGUCAGAGAUUUUAAAGUGCGGAAAAGUAUGGGAAAAUUUUAAAACCGCACGGUUUUAAAAACUUACAGUUUAUUUAUAUAUAUAUAUAGUAGUUUUCUGAUUAAGUUUUCCGUAUUUUAAAAUUCUGGAUUGGAACAUUUCUAUAUAUAUAUAUAUUCACAAUUUGUUAUAGGAGUCCUGUGAGAAUAUACUUUCUAAUUAUUUGAGAGUAAAUUUUCAAGAGCGUCCUGCAAUUGCAAACAUAUUGUAACUUGUAAGCAAAAAUUUUGCGGGACAAAGCCAUGAGAUGAGUCGGAUCCAGAGCAUGCAUAACAAAUGAAAGUAAUCUAAAAGCCAAUGGACGAUGUAGGUGGCACGUCAUCUCAAUCAAAUAUAUGCCCUAAUAAAAAAAUUUUAAAAAUAAAAAGCUUAUUCUUUUUAAUAAAUUUCUCGUGACGAAUCUUUAGUGAUAUUUACUUGAUGAUGUGCUUUGCUGUCUUCACGAUGAAGAAAACGGCUGAGACAGCAGCAUGAGGUUGAAUCGGCAACAACCGUUUUAUUUUUUUAAUAUUUAUGAAUGUCUAAUAUAUAUAUAUAUAUAUAUAUAUAUAUAUAUAUAUAUAUAUAUAUAUAAAAUAAUAAUAAAAAGGACCCUCCGAAUUUUUUAAGUUGGAGCAACAUAAUUCGGGAAUCCCACGAUCAAUUUACUUUCCCAUUUUUUGUUUAAAGAUUUUUUUUUCUUUCUUUUGGUAUUAUGUUAAAAAUAUUUUGAUAUACAUAAUGUAGGUACAAGGAUUUGCAGCAACAAAUUAUAUUCCACCACGUGUCUAGUUAGCCAACAUGUCAUUUCAAAAAGAUGAUUCUUUCAUUCUUUCACUAUGAAAUUCAUAUAUAUAUAUGUAUGUAUGUAUAUAUAUAUAUAUAUAUAUAGUAGUUUUCCAAUCAGUGAUCUCUAACUUUAAUAAAAUUAGGGAUUAGUUAAAAGAUAAAAAUAUGGAUUAUUUUAUCAUGUAGUGUAUUUAAUUUUAUUUUAUUUUUGUCUUUUAGCUAAUCCCAAACUUUAUUAAAAUCAAGGAUCCCUGAUUGAAAAAUUAAUAUAUAUAUAUAUAUAAAAGGAGCAUUUAACUGGUUAUCGAAUUCUCUAAUCUUUCUCGAACGACAUCAAAGUAUUUCUCAUAAGUUGAACCCUAGCUUAAGCGUUUGAGUGUAUUUAGCAUGUGCUAACAAACACUUGGAGCUUUAGAAGUUUGAAGACGAUAAAAGAUAUUCAGUCGUUUCAAGUAACAAAAUAAUUCAUCACUUGUAUAUAUAUAUAUAACUCAAAGAUUAAAUUUUGUCACGACACACUUUGUAUAUCUAAAUUAAAAGAAAACUUACUAUUCUUUCACAUAUACAAAAGGAAAAUCUUCUUCCAAUAAUGUCGGAGAAACUCCAUUUCCAUUUAAUAAAAGUUUGAGAGUGGGGAUAUUAAUUAUUCUUAGAAACAUCAAAUAAACUAAUAGUUUUUUCAUAAUCAAUCAACUACAUGCUCUCUAAUUUAUUUUUUAUUCUCAAGAUGGUAAAUCGAUUUAGUGUUAAAAAUGCAUUUGAAGAAUCUAGUGAUAAAAAUCAAUUUGUAGAGGGUAUAAUUGAUUGAUUGUUGAAAUCUAUCAUUUUAAGAUUCACUUUGGUACUCCUAUUGGAGGGUAGUGACUUAGUGCUAAUUUUAUUCUAUGAAAAAGUUAUAAUAUCAUUGUUAUUUUUAUUAAUUAUUAUUUAAAAAUCAUAUUUAAAAUGCUAUUAAUCUUUAUUUUACAUUAUUUGUGGCUCAAGGAUUAUUUUGAAAUCAUAUUUAGAAUAUCCAUGAGUAGGAAAAUUUAUUAAGUUUAAACUUUUUCAUUGUUCUACUAAAUCGGGCUUUAUGGACAAGGGCCGAAAGCCAACUUUGUCGGCUUAGGACUAUCAGUCCAUUUACUGAGCCCAAAAUAGAGAGCCGAUAUAUGGAUAAGAUUACCACCAAGCUUUUUGACAACCCUCUAAAUUCCUUAUCAGACCCCUAUUUAAUUAAAAUUAUUUAAAUAAUUGACCUUUUUUUAAAUGAAAAUUCAAUUAAACACUUAAAUAAAUUAUUUCUUACACCCACCUGAUUUCAUAAUUUAUAUUUAUAUUUUAAAUUUUAAUUGAAAUCAUUUUUUUAGAAGCUUUCAAGAAUUAAGAAUUAUGGGAGAUAGAAAUUAUGUAAUAAGAAGAAAAUAAUUUAAGAUUUUAGUAUUUGUAUCAAUUUAUAAAUAAGAACUUAAAAGAAAUACUCUUGUUAGAGCUAAAUCUAGUGACAACAUGAUUGAUUUAGAUUUAUGAAUUAAUAGUUUAUAAAUUAAGAUAGGUAUUUUAGGGAAUAGAAUUCAAAAGGGGUGUCAUAAGAAAUUUUGAGGGGUGUUAAAAGCAUCAGUCUGAAUUUUACAGGUACCGGCCGAAUUCUUGUAGCCCGAUUUGCCAAUUCUUAAAACUCAAUCCAGCAUGUGUAACACUCUAAAGUCUAAACACAAUACCCAUUCAAUUGAAUUAUGCAAUCUUGAAUUUGUAAAAUUAGUUUGUGUUUUUAGCAUUACUCACUCAAUAUUAACGAUAAUAACAUUGUUGAUACAAAUAUUUUAACAAACUAAUAUAUUAUAUUAUAUGAUUGCCACGUGUCUUGUAUAAUCUACCUUAAUUAUCACAAGUAAUGUAAGUUGGAAUGAUCUAUACUCAUCUCUAUGAAAAAUUAAUCCACUUAUAAGUUUAGUUUUUUUUUUUAAUUUAGACAUCUUCAAUACAAAGAUUUUCAUCCAUAAUCAAAAUCAUUUAAAAAAAAAGAUGACAUAUAUAUAUAUAUAUAUAUAUAUAAAGCUGAGAUUGGAGGAGGUAAUGUGGUAUCACUAUUUCUCAUCUUCUUGUAUUCUCUAUUAUCUAAUAAAUUGGUUGAAAUUAAAAAAAUAAUUACAUUACAAAAUAUUAAAAAUAAAAAAAUAAUUAUUAAAUUACAAAGAUUACAUGUCUCUUCCUCUUUCAAUUUAAAUUCAAUAAUAUGUAACCAUUAAUAAUAAUUAAUUAUAAGUCUUGAAACAUUCAUUUAUUUUAUUAUGCCAACAAUUAAACUUUAAUAGCUUAAAUACAUCAAUUAAUUAAUAUAGAAAGGAAUGUUCCUUCAUCUUCCCUUAACAAUGUCAUUAGGGCCUAAUUUUAAUGUCAUAAUCCUAUAUUUAAUUAUGCAACCUUUUGUUUAGUGCCUUUUGGCUUCUUCAAACUCUAUAAAUAUUAAGUAGUUAAGAUUUGUGGCAUAAUUAUUUCUCAUCUUUUUAUAUUCUCUAUUAUCUAAUAUAUUGGUUGAGAUUAAAAAAUAAUUACAUUACAAAAUAUUAAAAAUAGAAAAUAAUUAUUAGAUUACAAAAGAUUACGUGUGUCUUCCUCUUUCUAUAUAAAUUCAACAAUAUGUAACCAUUAAUAAUAAUUAAUCAUAAGUUUUGAAACAUACAUUUAUUUUAUUAAGCCAACAACUAAACUUUAAUGGUUUAAAAUAUAUCAACUAAUUAAUAUAGGAAGGAAUGUUUCCUUCAUCUUCCCUCACCAAUGCCACUAGGGGCUAAUUUUAAUGUCAUAANNNNNNNNNNNNNNNNNNNNNNNNNNNNNNNNNNNNNNNNNNNNNNNNNNNNNNNNNNNNNNNNNNNNNNNNNNNNNNNNNNNNNNNNNNNNNNNNNNNNUAUCAGAUUUUGACCAUAAUAAAAAAAACUAGGGAGAAAAAGGAUUUGGUUUUGUAAGAUUUGGGGAUUCUAUUAAUACCAGGAAAAAUGAAGAAUUGUCUUAAUGUGUACCAAAUUUUUAUGGAGGAAAAAAUAAUGUACACUUAGCUAUACAUAAUUAUUAUUUAUUUUAAAGGUAACAAAAAAAAAAACUCCUUUAAAUAACAUUAGUUUUAUAAAGUUACAUCAUUGUAUUGAAAAAAUUAAUUCAUAUUUUAAUCCAAUUUCAAUCAAGUAUAAAAAUUUUUUUAAAAAAAUAAUAUUAAAUCUUUUUUUUUAAAAACCGCGCUUAGUGCGGUUCUAUUUUCUAAUUUCAUAUAACAAUUGAAGUCUUCAUUUUUCAUUGUAGUUGAUUAUAAACUUUCAAUAUAUACAAGCGGGGUAACAUUAUCUUUCACGAAAUUUUUUAUUUUUAUUUUUAUUUUUGUAAUAACUCACCUCGAUCGACAUGAUGCAUUUUACCUCGAUACCUAAAUCUAUGUACAAAUUGACCUACUCACACGUGAACAUAAAAUUAUAAUUAAUAUAUAUAUAUACUAUAAAUUUUAUAAGCCCGCCCACAUAGAAAGCCUCAUCACUUACCUUCUAGACAAAAAAACUCCCUAGUGAAAAAAAUUGCGAUAAAUAUGCAUGAAUUCUAAUAUCUAGGGCAAUUGCCACAGUGCCAUUAAUGCGAGUCAUAAAAUAUUGUUGAUUGAUAUGAAUUUAUUCCUUUGUCACCGCGAGGAAGAGAAAGAGAGAAGCUUCCUUUGCCGACAACUCGAAGAUACCAAUAAUUGUUUUUUUUUUCCCAGAGUAAUAAGUUUACAAACUUUGUUUAUUAUUUUUUUGGGACUGCAAAAUGUGCCUAGCAAUUUAUUGUUUUGAUUGAUAGUUAAGAUUAAGUGUGUGAUUAGAUUAAUUUUAGAAUUAAUUUUUUUUAUGUUUGGCAAUCAUUUCUUGGAUUGGAUUAGGCAAAGUAAAUUUAAAUUUAGUUCAUAAAUUUAUCACGGAAUUAUCAAUCUCAAUUUACAAGUGUGUUUCGAUGGAGUUAUAAUAAGAGGAGAAAAAUGUACAUAUCACCAUUUUGUAUUUAUUACUUAAAAUUUAAUUAAUUCAUUCAUUCAUUCGUUCAUUCGUGAUUUACUUGAAAUUUAUUUUUAAUUUAUUUUUUAUAGUCUAAUUAUAUUAGUACUUUUAUUUCAACAAAAUUAAUUAUUUAAUAAUAGGUAAUUAUUCACCAACCACUUGAUUUUUUUUUUUUACUUUUUCAAAAAUAUACAAACACUUUUUUCUUUGCAAAAAUUCACAUGAAGUUUACAAAUGUUUUGGGUGUCCAACAUUGCCUUAACUCUAAUAGAAUUCCGGUGACAUUAUAGGAUUAAAAUUAUCAUUUUACCUAAAAAAUCUAAAAAAGACAUCGUUCAAAUGCAAUUGAAAUUAAAAAAUGAAAAAUUAUCCACCGAUCACAUGAUAUUUCAACUUUUAUAAAAAAUACACCAAUAUUUUUUUCUUUUCCAACAAUCCACCUGAAGUUUACGAAAUGCAUCACUACUCCUUUGCAAUCAUAACUCAUUAAAUUCAGGUCUCUAAUUCAGGACAAUAAUUAAUAUCUAAGGAAGGAAGAUGUGGUAAUCUAUUGUCCCAUUAUUUAUAAUGGGCAGCUCUUCAAAAAUACCAUAAUUCUAAAUCUAUUAUUUCUUUAUAAUGAAUUUAAUUAACCGUCCUCUUCUUUCGCGUCAGCUGCUUGUUGUCACUCAUUAUCACUCCCCUUUCACUCACUAUUUGCUUAGUGGUCGCUGUUAUGAUGGUAGUGGAGUAAUGAAGCACUUCGUAAACUUCAAGUGGAUUGUUGCUAAAAAAAAAAAAAAAAAAAAGAGGUGUUUGUGUAUUUUUUAUAAAGCUUGAAAAAUCAAGUGGUUAGUGAAUGAUUUCGUUUGGGGGCAAAACAACUAUUUGACUAAUAUUUCGUUAAAUCCUUGAUGGUGUUAAAGAAAAAGUGGAGCAAUAAUGCACUUUGUAAACUUCAAGUGGAUUGUUGCUAAAGGAAAGAAAAAAGAAAAAGGAUAUUUACGUAUUUUUGAUAAAGCUUAAAAAUCGGUGGUCGAUAAAUAAUUUCUUUAUAAUUAUUUAUUGUAAUAAUGUAUUGCAUUAUAUUUAAUAAUUAGUAAUUUAAUACUAAAAAUAAUUAUGACAUCAAUAAUACCAGUAAUUAGUUGAUUUAACACAUAUUAUUUGCUAACCUUUUAAGAAAAUAAAAUAUAUCUAAAAUAUCUAAUAAAAUUUAAUUAAAUAGUUUAGUAAUUUAUUGUUAUUAUAAUUAUGACUACUCGAUAACUGAUUUAAUAUAUAUUUAAUUUUCUUUUUUAUUAUAAUAUUAAAUUAAUUUUAAUUAUUAUAAUUAACUAUUCAUAAAUAAUCUUUUGUUUAAAUAUAAUUUAACAUUGUCGAAUUGAUUAUUGUACCAAACGUUAAAAUAAUAUUAUGUAUAAUUUAAAUUAAUCUAAUUUAAUAUUCAGAUCCUAAUAUUUAACUUGAUCUAAUCAUGGGUCCCAGACACAUAACACUUCCUAGAAUCCUGCUCAAUUUCGGAAUUUAAUAUCAAUUGAGUCACAGAAAUGGGUACCAAAAAGUCAAAGCAAGUCAUUUGCAAUAUUCAUUAUUAUUAUUAUUUUCGAAUAAAAGAUACAAUUAACCAGAUUCUAGAUUCUAUAUUACCCAAUAAUUUAAUGGUUUUGUGAUUUGGGACCUAACCCUUCAUUUAUUAUGGUUAGUGGCUCAUAGUCUCCCAGUGUAUUUGUCAACCUGAAUUUAAUUGGUACAUUCGGACAGCUAAGGGCAAUGUAUUAAUACUGUGCUAGUUAGGUACGAAUUGUGGCAUUAAAUUAUUAAAAAAAUUUAUAUUAAUAUAUUACAAUUAAAGAUCUAUUAAUAUUUUACAAUCAGAAAUCGUUCAGAACUUUUCUUAAUAAUCUUUAGUUUCUCAUUUUACUCAUUACAGUAUUAGUAAAUGAAAAUAACAUUUUGAUUUAAAAACGCAUAAAUUAUAAUUCAAUUUGUGAAAAUAAGUUUAAUCGAAUUAGAUUUUGAUUGAUCGAAUUACAUAAUCGGUACAAAUAAUGCAUACCUAAAUCAAUGUCCUCAGAAAAACUUUUGCUUAUUGCUUGAUUACUAAACCUAAGCCUAGUGAGCUCCAAUUUUGUGUCUCACAUGCACAUGAUUUUGAACUUUAAAUAAAAGAGUGAAUGUGUUUGGUAAGAAAAAUAGCUAAGCAAUUGUUAUUUAAAAUUAAGAUUUGAAAUCAAGGUUUUCAAAGUCAACUUGGAAUUCGACACAAUUCGUCCUAGGAAAUGAGGAGGAAGAUGGACAUGAACUUUGCAUAUUCGUUUUAAAAUGUGUAUUAAAUUAAUGCCAAUUCUCCCAUAAACUAACUUGGAAUCACUUUUACAUGAAGAAAUAGAAUUAAAUUAUAUGGAUUUAAAAACACCGAUUUAAUAAUUCUAAGUUUCAUCUAACCCCUGCAGAGUUUUAAGUCCAACAGGCAACAGCCAAUAAUGCUAAGACCAUCCUUUUCCCCACAAACUUAUAGCUAGCGGGUCCUCUCUAUUUAAUGCCAAUUCUAUACUAAAAUAAACAAAGAUUUGAGCAAGUAUGGGAGAAAAAAUUAUUGCUUUAUUAACCAGAUGUAAAAAUCUACAUGAUCAUUUUCAUUUGAGGGGAUACAAAAACAUAUAAUUUUAUUUUAAGAAUGCGUAAAAGAAAUCAUGCGGAUUUAUUAAUAAUAUGAUUUUAAAAAUUUUUCGCGAUUAAUUUGGGCCUGAUUAACACAACAUUAAGAACUGCAGCUUGAAAAUCAACUUUGAAAUCAAUACUAAUCCGACGUCUAAAAUUUCACCCACAUCAAGAUAGAAAACGUACGCAUGACCGAGAUAUUGGGAUAUUUAAUGAAUACUAAGGGCAUCUCAACAAACUUGUUAGAUAUUCUACAUUAAUGUGUUGUAAAUUUUGUACUCGAGCUACAGCAACGAGAAUGGAAGCUAGAUUUUGGUAGAUAGCUGGUGUGAAUGUGAUAUCGAGAAUCAAUUGGACAAAAAUUGCAAUAAAAAAGAUGGUGAAGUGUUGAGCUAAGCUGCUUCUCUGGGGAAGUCAUUAAUCGAUCAAUAAUGGUCCAUUGGUCCUGCAUUAUGGGAUAUGCUAUGGAUAAAAAGAUUUGGACCAAAACUCAAAGCGCUUCUUUUAUUUAUUUUUUUUCCUUCACUCAAAUUAGACACCCAAAGACUGAGUGGCGAACCACUAUCUUCAAAAGUAAGUAUGAUUAUGAGGGCAAUGGUUUGAGUUCUUAUGAACUCAAUAUUUCUCAAUUAAGUAUAAUUAUAUAGAGUUAAUUUACGAAAUGCGAGUGGAGUAUAGACAUCCCUCCUCUGUAAGAAAUACGAGUGGAGCAUAAACAUCUCUCCUCUGUGAGAGUUACAGAUAAUAAUAAUUAUCUGUGUAAUACAUUAAUAUGAUGCGUAAUCAGUAUUAAAGAAAAAAAAAACACCCAAAAGCUUAUUUUCCGAGGGACAAGGUUUGUUCACUCAUAAGUGGUGUCGUUUUAAAAAAAAAGUUGUAAUAAUGUGCUUUAUUCACAUGGAUGAUUGAUUAAUAGAAAAUGUCACGACAUCCCUGAAGCCAAGCUCUGACCGCACUCGCCGUACACCAAUUAAUUUUUGAUAGAGAAGAUUUUUUUUUUUAAAGAAUUUUCACAAUUAUAAAGAGUGCAUUCAAUCUCACUUGUUUAAGAUCCCAAUCAUGGGAACCCUAAAAGGAAUACGGUAAAUUAAAUUUGCCAUAGUCAUGCUCUGUGCAAAUUCAAAUUGGGUAAUGGCCGAAGGAAUAUGGGCAAACUGAUACACCCAUGUGUAAAGGAUUUUAUUAGAAGGUUGGUUUCCACAUUUACUUAUUUUCUUGAGACUCUCUAUUUCACAGCCACACAUGCUAUCAGAGUUACGGGAUCAAGCAGAGGCAGCAAGUGACUAACCAUAUUUAUAAUGGUACUUGUAUACGAAGGCCACAUGAUGCCACAAUUUCUUUCCCCCCAUAAAGAAACCCUAAAUAAUGGAGAAAUUUGACGGUUCAGAAACAUCAUCAUGAGCUGGAACCUUCCCCCAUAAUAAAAAUUGCAAUAAAUGAUAUGAUAAAAAAAAAAAAAAAAGGGAGCAAAGCAGUGAAAGGAGAAAGAGUGUGCCUCUGCAAAAGCAGGUUAAAAAUAGUUUAUGAAAUCACAUGCGGUUUUGGGGGACACUUUUGUCUCGUGCAUUGCUGUAAUGAUAUAUUCAUAUUGAUAUUCACUUCACACACAAGCUUCGCGUUUGCCAAAAACGAUGCAAGACCCAGUUGUAAGCUUCAGUCAGAGAAGGGGGAAUAGGGAUUCUUUUCCUUCUUUAUUAAUGCUUCAAAAGGGGAAAUAAUAUUUGUUAAAGCAGCAAAGCAAAGGGGUCCAAAGAGGGACACUGCUACCAACUUUCAAACAACCACCCUAGAUGCUCUCAAGCACCAUAUACAAAGAUUCGUUCAAUUUAAUUAAAAUUAUAUCAUGUCAUCAGCAUUCAAAAAGAUUGCACCCAACAAAAGGAACUGAUAAGCUAAGUGAUCAUGUGAAGGUGGUGUCAUCAAGACUCAAUUUGACUGAGAAACAAAAGCAAAGUUAAAGAGUUCAAAAGGAAAAAUGCUGAUCUCUAUAUUUUUUUAUCAUCAUGUGACCCGCAAUGUUCUUGAUUAUAUCUUUGUCAGCAGAUAUUACCAAAUGCCAAAAUACAAACAGAAAUUACUCUUCAGAUCAACGAUUUGGUUGGAACAAGUAAGAAAAAUACAAUACUAAUUUCAUAAUUCCUUCUCAUUUACCCUGCCGACUUCCAACAGUAUCCAGCAAAAAUACCCCUUUUUUUUUUAGCCGAAACCCAGAAACAGCUACUACAAAACCACACAAAGGGAAACAAACCCACAAAAGAUUAGAAUUAACAAACUAGACAACUUUGAUCUUAAACUAAUGCUAGCCAGUAGCAGUUUCCUUUUCGCUGCCACUGCAGUAUUCAGUAAGCAAGAGAAUUAGUAAACUAAGGAAAGGUUAAUGGUUCUUCUUUACGACAGCUUCACCACCUUCCUUCAGGCAUGGAAGGUAAACUAAAAAUUAACCUCCAUUUGCUCUAUAUCCCUAUUUGGAAAACUGAGCUCCAACUCCAUAGUUGGAUUCUGCAGAGAGAGUAUAAAGAUUCAUCGAGGUCCAAGCUGAACCUGUGAAUAUUUACGACUCUAUUUACAGAUUAACAGAGGCAUGUACCAAAAGUCCAAAAAUCUGACUUCACUUCUACUAUGUAACUUCUAUCCGGUUAGUAGAUUAACAGCAGCUACCAAUAUAAACAAUUGCCUUGAUUGAACCUAUCCUUUGGUUAGACUUCCGUCUUCCAUAUCAUGUUAUCAGUGCUACUAUCACGUGACUUCUCCAGUGCAGCAACUUUAGCCCGAUGUGCUGCUAAUGCAAUUACGCUUUUUCCCCUUUCAUCAUUAGCGAGUUCACAGGCCUCACUGAUGGAUCCAGACCUCAAAUCAGCUGGGGGAAUAAAACAAUCCACUGAGAGACCAGGAACAUUAAAUGCAACCUCUUCAAUAGUCCAAGCUUCUUCCAUCUUUGUUUUGGAAUGACUCAUUGCCACCUCCCCGAACCUAAAAAGUGUCACGACAGAACGGCCAGAGUGUGCAAUCAUGAUGCCUUCAACUGGUCUGUAAUCGUCAAGAAACGAAUUGAUCGUCGUUUCCCAGUAAACUGCAUCACCACCAUUAGACUGGAUUCGAGUCAAAUGUGAAUCCUCCAUAUAAACAAGAAGUCCGGUCUUUUGGCUGAAGUAGCCAAACAAGACAUGCCUAAUGAUCUCUGCCGGACCUUCACUCCUGGCCUUAAGCGUCUGAGGGUCCGCACAAAGCUUGAGGAUGAAGCAAUCCUCACCAUUAAUCUUUUUCUCCCCUAUGCACCUUGCAUCAGCAAACAUACUAGCUGUUGUCCUCGGAUCAAGACCCUGAAACCCAUCAAUAAUCAGCAAAUAACCAACAUGGAUCAACUAACUGACUUCAAGUGCUAAGAUCAACACCAAAACCUCACCUGAAGUGCACGACGCAGAGGUCUAACAGGCCCUUUGGCAGUAUGGGCCCCGAGCCAGGGUGUGUGCCUCCAAACAAGCUUUCCAUUGCAUCCAGCAUGAACCUUACUACCUCCAACUGCAAGCUCAACAUACCACAUGUCUGGAUUCAUCUGCCAAAGCACAAACCCACCUGAUUCUGCACAUCUAGUUGCAUUCCGGUUCUUAACUGUCCUCGCAGCGGUUUCAAACUCAGAGGCUACCAUCCUAACCUUCCCCAUUGCAUACGCAUUUCUAAUGGAGUUUUGCAACUUCUGCCCGCCAGAAGCCGCAGUGUACUGCUGCAAAAUGUACUGCGCCGAAGAAGCUUCCUGCAACAACCAAAUUUUAAAAUGACUUGGCCAUAACUUUACAACAAUUUUCACUAGAUUACAAAUUCAUAAAAAUCAAAAGCUUCAAAUCACGUGAAGCUUCGUGUCUGCUACAACACUAGCACAUCAAUUUGUACUAACUAUCAAGGAGACUCACCACAGGUUCUCACUAACCAAACAAAAGAUAAAGACAAUAAUCAUAAAUUUACUAAAAGUAGCUAUACAAUAAUAGUUAUAAAUCACGUCUUUAUUUUUUCUUUACUUAAUUCACCCCUCAAAGAUACUCAGUACCCCGAAAAGACAGAAGAGGGGGAAAAAAAAAACCCUUAACAAGCAAAAACUGCAAGAAGAUAGAGGAGCUAACAAUGGGAGUGUCUUUGAUGCUCAAGUGAGGCAAAGGGUCGUUGUCGCUAACGUGCACCGGGGCCAACGGUGCGCCCAUAACACCAAGCAACAGCCUCAGAUCAGACCUCCUAUAAGCCAUAGCACUGACCGACGGCGUCCUCGACAAUUGCCCCUUAACCCAGUUGCCCAGGCCCGACCCGACCCGCUUAGACUCCCCGAGUUCGGCCCCGUCCGGAUCUGGGCCUUCCAUUAAUGGCGCCAACGCCUCCCCAACCACCGGCCUUAAACUCCCGGAUCUCGAAACCAACUGCUCCUGAGUGGCCACCUGAUGAUGGUGGUGGUUGGAGCUCUGGUUCUUUCUUCUUCGAAGAAGCGACGAAAUGGGGGACAUAGACCGGGCCGGGCUGGCAGCACGUGACCGGGAGGGGCUUAGGCCGCGGACUACUUCUUGUUUGAGAGCUGAGAAGAAGCCUUGUUUCUUCUCCAUUUUUGUUCUUUUUUUUAACUUUUUUUUUCUUUCAGGGGUUUGAGAGUUGAAGGGGAAGAAUGUGAUGUGAGUUUUUGGUUUAGAGAUUCAUAGAGAGCCAGAAAGCAGAGAGCAGAAUGUGAGUGAAGAGUGUUUUGUGAGAGAGAAGCGGCUUUGAAGAAUGAGACUGUGCUGUGCUCUGCUGAGUGUGUGUGUUCGGGGGGAGAGAAAAUAUGGUCAAAUGUGGACAGAUAAAAAAGAGUGCGGCGAAAUAAAAUAUGAUUCUAUCAAACUAUAAUGGGAGAGGAGAAAGGGGUGCUUGCAAAAUUAUAUACGAACCCUUUAUUGUUACAAUAUUUUAAAUAAUAACAAUGGUAUACAUUUGUAUCAAAUAGGUCUCUAAUGUCUAGCUGAAUUGCAAAACUAGCCUUUCUUGUUAGAGUAAUGAUACAGCCACAAACUCUUGUACAAACUUAUUUUGUACAAACUGAUGUGGCAUUAAUUCAUUGGUUGAAUGAAAAUAUAAAUUAAUAAAAACAAAUCAUGUGGGCCAAGUGAUAUUUAAUUCAACUAAUCUUAUCAUGCCACAUCAGUUUGUACAAAAUAAGUUUGUAUAAGAGUUUGUGGCUGUAUCAUUACUCUUCUUGUUAAAGUUAAGUACGCGGUGGUAAAAUUCCUAAUUCGAUAAUUUGGUCAUUUACAAAGGUCGCAAGACCUAUUUGAUAGAAAUGGACAAGCUAUGGGUACUAAUAUUUGAAAACGUAGAAAAUCAGGGACGUAGUUGUUAUUUCACAGGUACGUGCUACCGUGUCGUUUUAACUGGCUAAUUAGUAGUUGGAGAGCUUUAGUUAAUUCCAGGUUUACGGAAAGUCGAUUUUUACUCUGAAUUCAAAGAAGGGAGUGGAGGUAACUUGCAUGAAUUGGGAAAUUUUCUAAGUAUAGAAUUUGUGUCAUGCCUGGGUGUAUUACUUAAUAUAACUUUUUUAAAUGAAUAAUUUGUCUUUGUGUAAUCCGUGAAUUGUGAUAUUGUUUGUAUCUAAGAUACACUAGACGGUAAAUAACUCGUUGUGUAAAAUUGAUAUCAAUAUUUAUUAAAUCUUUAUGCACGACAACAAUAUCACAUCAAAUCAGAUUUAGGCCGUAAUUCGUUUUUGAAACUAGAUCUUAUGGGAAUGAUUACGUAUCCAUAAUUGGUAACUACAAUCGAUUUUUUGAUCAAUCACUUUAAAGAUCAAAAUGAAAAUAUGAAAAAGAAAAAGAAACAAAAAAUUUCACUAACAAAUAAUUACACGUAUCAUAUUUAAAUUUCAUGUAUUUUUGAUUGAUUCAUUUAUUCAUAUCAUCUUCCAUCAUCAUAUUUGCUUGUUUUUAAACUAUUACUGCAAUUAAUUUGAACAAUAAUCAAUCUUUUGUACUAUAAAAAUAAGAGUAAUGAUACAGCCACAAAUUUUUAUACAAACUGACAUAACAUUAAUUCAUUGAUUGAAUGAAAAUAUAAAUUAAUAAAAAUAAAUCAUGUGUACCAAGUAAUAUUUAAUUCAAUCAAUCUUAUCAUACCACGUCAAAAUAAAUUUAUAUAAAAAUAUGUGACUGUAUCAUCACUCUAAAAAUAAAUCUUAAAAAUAAAAAUCUUCAAGACGCAUGACCAAAAGAAAAUCACUGACUUUUUUUACUUGUGAGUGUGCGGUGAGAACGUUACAAUUACAGAGAAAACUGCAGCAUUUGGUGCGCCUCAGUUGGGCUUUAGCCUUUUUUUUUUUUUUUGGCCAUUACGUGCAGCGAAAGCUCUGAUGUGAAAGUCACGUUCUUUUCUCCCACUUGAUUGGACGGUGUUAUUCACGCGGUUAGACCGCCCUUAAGAUUGAAAAUUACCUGUGUGAGUAUCGAAUUGUUUGGCAGCAUAAACUCUGCAAAAGCAGCAGCCGAUGUCCGGGCGAAACGUACUCGCUCGAUUUGUGGCCUAGUCUUAAGGUGCUCACGUGAGGGUACUUUGCUUUGGCCAAUAGGAAUUGUUCCUGGGUACACGUGGCAAACAUUUUGAGCGAGUGCGUUUGUUAGAGUUUUCGGUGGGUUACCGGUUGUUUUCUGCUUUGGAUAAAUAUCAUCCGAUAGGGGCCUACACGUCAAAAACAUCAUUUUCGCUGUUUUCCUUUCUUUUAAUGCUUUUUCUUUAAAAAUUGUUUCGAAUUUUAUGGCUAGUCAAUUUAAAUAAGGUUUUUCAUUUUAGAUAAUGAUCGUCAACUUUUUAUUUUCCAUGAUGGUUUUUCAUUUCACAUUGAUUAAUAGGUUAAAGCCACGACACAACAGCACUAGAAGCUUAAUCGUAUCUAACGUUAGUAGCUUGUUAAAAAAUUAUUUAUCUAAUUUUGUGUGAAAUUAGGGCAUGAUCGAUUAAAUGUUAAUAUGAACACAUUUUUACCUUAUGAUAUAAUGGGGAGCCACUUAUUAAUAACCAUAUUAAAUCAUGUCAUACGUAACUAAUAACUUAUUAUGAAAUUUAUAUCUAAACUAUUGUGUAAUUAAGAUAGAGUUCGUUACAGUAUCAUCGGAUUUUUUUUUUAAUUUUUCUCUUCAAAUACUUACUUAUUUACUUAUGUAACAAAUAAAAAUGUGAAAAGAUAAGUUAUCUCUCUAAAGCUUCCAUUGGCGAACCAAAAAUUUUCAUCCACAAAUAAUAUAACUAUUAUAAUAUAUCUUUCCCUUUGAGAAUAAUAAGAUAAAAAUAUAAUAUAAUAUUAAAUUCAAAACUUCAAAACACUUUCUAAAUAAUUAGUAAAAUUUCACUUAAAGAAUUUUUUGGUGAUACUCUUCUUAUCAAACACAUUUUUACUACAUGUUAUAAAUCAAAAGAAAAAUAUUAUUAUACAUUAUCAUUUUAUUAAGAUUGUUUACCACAAAUGACGUUGUAAAUUUUAUGAAAUAGUAUUAGUGUUUUUGGAAAUAAAUCAUUUAAAAUUAUCAUUAUCAUUAUCAUUUUUAUUAUAUAUGACGCACACGUUUCAUUUUCUUUUAAAAUAUAAUAGUAAGAACCAUUUGUUGAAGAUUUAUUGAAUAUUUGAAUGUAUUAAAAAGCAAGCAUGAACAAAAGGUAGUCAUAGGCCAUUUUGCCGAUUGUGGGUCCCUAAUUUUAGAAAAGAAUUCCGAGGCAACGAAGACUGUUUUUUAACCGUUUGAUGCUCCUUCUUUUACAGCAGCUCAUAUGAUCACCAGCCUCUGGCAGGUACUACCACUAUCCAUUUUCAUCCAUUAGCCAAUGGAAGCUAGCAGAUGCGGCACGUGGGGGGCAACUUUCAUUUAUUUUCUUUCUGAGACAAUAGCAUUCGGGUCCGUGUCUUUCAAACUAUCGCAUUAAAAGGACAUAUUUUAUGAGUUCGUAUCAAACAGGCCCGAAGAACAGUUAAAUUUACCCUUGAAGCAAAUUUAUGUACCUUUCACAUUGAAUGACAUUUUAGUCAUUUCAUGAUGAUUCAAGGACCUAUUUCUUACUAAUCGACAAACUAUGUCAAAGAAUAAAAAUUGAGGGAUUCGGUGCCACAACCUUCCUGCAAAAAGCAAAAGAUAAAAUAAAACUUAAACUAGUAGCAAUUUAUUAAAAAUAAAAAUAAAAAUUUGACCAAAAAGGUUUUGAGUGAAUUACAAGUUUGGGACAAUACAUAUCAAACUCUUUUAUUAAUUUCCGAACACAUUCUAAAUAUUUUAAUUUAUUUCAAUGACAUCUCAUAUGGUUUGUUCACUUGAUGUGAUCAUAGAAUAUGACUGAACAAUCGCUAUCAGUGGUUGAUUCUUUUUUUUAAAAUUUUUUUCGCAUAUUUAAUAAAAUUAACAAUCUAAUCAAUGGUGGGGAUCUUUGUGAAGUAGUCAAAAUAUCAAACUUUGAAGUUCAAAACUAGUGGUUGAAUUAAUUCCAACAAAAUUUAAUUUCUGAAAUGGUGUUGAUGAAUUCGAUUGAAAAUGUACUCAACGGUCCACAUCAAAUUGUUCAAUUUAACUUUUGAUGCAUUUAAUUUUUCAUAACGUCCGAAUCCUCUAAUUUAAGUUAUGGGAGUAUAUUUUUAAAAUGCCAAGAAGAUAAAUCAAGGGAAGGUUAAUUUUUACUACUUAUAUAACUAAUACAGACAAAAAAUAUCAAAAACGCUGGCUUCCACCCUUAUUCUAAAUGAUAAAAUUUUCGUGUAAAUAAUUAGUCUACAACGAAAUUGUAUUGGGGAAUUCAAUAUUUGUUGCUUUUAAUGAACAUAAUAGCCGGAAACGAGGUAGCAUUUGACCAUCAGUCCAUUAAUCCAUUAUAGGCAAAUCAUAUCCCUACCUAGACUAUAUAUUAAAGCAUGAAUGUGCCACUAAAUAAAGUGACGCAACAAGAUGGCUCUUUUGUUAAUUCACAUACAUUGCACCAUUUUCUUCUUCUUCUUUUUCUCAACCUAGUUUUAUUAACAAAUUCUUAUAACCAAUGGGUCCUUGGUUCAUAAGAGCUUUAUGGGGAGGUUAAUUUCAGUGUUCCCUUAAUUAUCAACAUAAUUGAGUUGAGAUAGUUUUUCUCUUACGAAAUAUGAGUGGAGUAAGCACCCCUCGAAUAUUAGAGAAAAUUUAAAAUAUAUAGGCAAAUGCUUCAAUGUGUCAAUGUAUGACGGUGGUCCCAGUUAUAUAGUAUGAUUAUAAAUAUUAAUUAUAAUGUCUGAUGUAAUAUCAGUAAUAUCUCUGUAUAACAGAUCUAAAAAAAAAAUUCCUACACAGGCAAUCGUUAAUAAAAUUUUCAUAACGAUAAUAUAAAAUUCAAAAUAAAUAAAUAUUGUCAAAGGAAUGGGAUGAAAAAUGAAAAUGUUGAAUCUUUAUCCCAAGAAUUUAUGCAUAGAGUUUGUAAAACGAGACGAUCAAUAUUUGUGCAUGUGAAAGGCCGAAAGCUCCCUUUGUUUGGCUUUGGGGUCCAAAAUCAACGCGUUUUCUAAGCUUUAAUGCGUCGCACGGUUGUACGAUGUGCAUACAGCUAUCCUCCACUACUUUGCAAAGAAACAAAUUGCAAAAGUUUUGGGCUCCUUUGAAAAAAAUGACAAUUCUGCUCCAACUUGCGAUUAGUAAAAUUAAAUAAAGGGAAAGUGUGAAACUCACGAAUGUUUUUAGAAUCAAAUACUAAAAAUUAGAGGGGGAAAAUACACAUAUUUAGCCUCCAUUGGACAACCAUUAGUUACUGAUAGCGCAUCGUCUUCAAUGUGUUGCAGUCUUCAAUUACUUUUACAAGAUUAACUGAUAACCAACAUAAGAUCUAUUUGAAAUUAAAGUGCUGUAAUUUUUAAAAUAUAACUGUUGUAAAAAAAAUAUUAUAAUUAUAAAAUAAAAGUUAAUAAUAUGUAAUAAAUAUAAAUUUUAAAUAAUAGUUUUGACAAAAUUUUUAAAGAUAUAAUAGUUUUUUUAUCAUACAAGUGAAAAAUCACAUAAACAUAUUUUUCAAGUUACAACAGCUAGUGUUUACCAAACACUUUAAUGAUGUAUCUUAAGCUGCAGCUAUCCAAUUUCAAUGUUAAACACACCCAUAAUAGACUCAGAAGUAACAAAAUUGUCUUCUAUAAUAAACCAAGUUAUCCAAAAAUGAAAAGUUUAUCAACGGAUAGAUUGGAGAGAAUUUAUUAAAUUACAUUAAUUAAUAAUAAAUGAGCAUUGAGCUUCGUUUAUAUAGAGACAUGGAGUGAAGAAACAGAUUCAUUUAUAAAUUGUAAUAAAUCCAAAGAUCUAGUUUACAAGAACAAACAUGACAUUACAAUUACAAAGGUGCCGUUUUCUUAAAAUACAGUGCUACGCUUAUGUAAGAGAAUUACUAAAUUAGUUUGUUAUUCCCUUCGCAAUGGAGUUGAUCAAAAGAAGACACAGCCGUUUCUUGGCGUCUUGUUUCGUAUCUAGUUGUUUUCAGAAACAUAUUGAUGCAAACCCACAUCACAAAAUCUCCAGGCUAAGAUUGUGUUUUAUAUGCUGUCAUUGUAUUGCAUUUGCAUGUGUGUUAUAACAUGGGACCGAGUUUUGUUUUGGACUCUAAUGGCUCUGAAUCUUCAUAAGAUUUAUUUCUCUUUGGAAUGUUUUGUGUAUAGAUAUAUACCAUAUAAAUAUAUAUCAAACAAUACCAAAAUCAUGAUAUAAUUUCUUUUAAAAGAAUCAUGAUAUCAUUGAUCCAAGCUAUCUUAUCAUGUUUAUUUGUAACUUUUUAGUGUUAUAUAAAUAUGAAUUUAACCCCACAUCGAUUAUGGUAUAAACGAUCUUUGAAUUUUAUAUCACUUAUUCUGUCAAAAAAAGAUUAAAUAUGUUAAUUCAAUUGGUAUUUACACUCUUUUAAUAAUUGUAUCAAAAAAUUGAAACACGGCUUAAUUUGUUUUUAAUAAUUAUUUUGAUCCUAAAAUUUUGCAGUACCCCCUAUUCAAUUUUAAUUAAUUUUGAUUUAAAUAGAAAAAAUAAAUUUUAAAAUAUAUAUUAGUAAUAUUAAAUAAAAAAAAGUUAAUUAAUCGAAACUUAACAUGAUUAGUAAACAGAUGAAAUUAAUAAAAUUCGUUUAAUAAUCAUGUCAAGUUUCGUUCCAUCCGAAACCAUUAAUUCAUUUUUCAAGUCACAAAUUACCACCCCUAAUCAUAUUACAUCGGAUAAUCAGAUAUACCUGCUACAUAUAAGAUCUCGCACAUCAUUAAUUCUGUGAAUAUGAGUAGUGGGAGCACUGGAUUUACAACACUGAGCCAUUAUUGGGGUUGUGGGGCACGUCAGCAACUUAUUAAAAGAUCUGGUGCAGCAGACAAGAUUGUUGUUCCUUACAGACAAAGGCAACUCCCC
rnacentral:lncRNA from 1 species